CACGUAGGAGGCGAGCGUUGUCCGGAAUCAUUGGGCGUAAAGAGCGCGCAGGCGGCUUGGCAAGUCGGGUGUGAAAUCCCGGGGCUCAACCCCGUGACUGCAUUCGAUACUGUCAGGCUAGAGGUAGGUAGGGGAGAUCGGAAUUCCUGGUGUAGCGGUGAAAUGCGCAGAUAUCAGGAGGAACACCGGUGGCGAAGGCGGCAUCCUGGACCACGACUGACGCUGAGUGAGCGAAAGCCAGGGGAGCAAACGGG
rnacentral:rRNA from 1 species